GUUCUCGUUAGAUCACCGAAGUCAAGCAUCAUUGGGCGCGGUCAGUACUUGGGUGGGUGACCACCUGGGAACACCGCAUGCA